GUGGCUCCAGGUUUGUUUUUCUCCGGUACAGCCUGGUAGGGAGGGCUCCCGGCAUCUCCCUGCUUCGGGGCAGAGGAUGCCGGGGGUAGAGUACGGGAGGGCUGGAGCGAGGGUGGACUGGAGGUGCCGCUUGUCCUGGAGGUGGGAGAGAGGGAGCGGCUUUGCCGCCUGGCCUGCGUCCUAAUCCUGUCCUGGUUCUUCUGCUCCCGAAGGGAACGUAGGUCCCGCGCCUGUGAUAAAAUCUCGCUGUCUCCUUCCAACCACCUGUGGUCGGCAUCCCCGCGUUGUCACUGCGACGCAGAGGUCGCAGCUUCAUGGCCUGAUGCCUUCAGGAAGUAUUUUGAAGUCAUCGUGGCUGUGGAUUGGGGGAUUUCUUGUUUCCACUGACCUGUGAGGCCGCGCACGUGGAGGGAGGCACCCCGGGUCCUCCGGCACUGUCCGGCCUCGCCUGUGUCCCUAGUAGCAGUGGGCAUUUCCAGACGGUGCAGCUUGUGGCUAAAGUGACAGGAAGAUGUAGGAGCUUUCAGUCUUGGAUGAGGAUUCGAACUGAAGGGCUUAGGCCCAGCUGUCUUGGAGCAAAACAUCUGUUGUGGGAUGUGGCGGCAGAGGAGGGCAAGGCCGAAGGAGCAGACAGCACCGCUUCUUGGGGAGUUGUGAAGGCAUCAUGCGGAGGGCCGAGCUUAGCAGCCAAGUGGAGGACAGCACCCUCCAUGCCUGGAUUCGUUACUCGCUCGUUCUCGAUGUUGAGCUGCUGGCAUAUUGCAGCACAACUAGAGAUGUACGGAUGCCCCCAUCUUGAUCUUACAGAAUCAGAGGUGCAGCCGCAAGAAAGGUCUCUACACCCUCUCGGUUUUCUCUGCUCUGCCAACACUAGUGGAAUAUGAUCACAUCCCAGGGAUCAGUGUCAUUUAGGGAUGUGACUAUGGGCUUCACUCAAGAGGAGUGGCAUCAUCUGGACCCUGCUCAGAGGACCCUGUAGAGGAAUGUGAUGCUGGAGAACUACAGCCACCUUGUCUCAGUAGGGUAUUGCAUUCCUAAACCAGAAGUGAUCCUCAAAUUGGAGACAGGCAAGGAGCCAUGGAUAUUAGAGGAAAAAUUUCGAAGCCAGAGUCAUCUGGGUGAGUUAGUGCCAGAUGGAAUUUAAAGAAUUAAUUAAUACCAGUAGAAACUAUUCAAGAAUGAAGUUCAAUGAGUUUAACAAAGGUGGAAAAUGUUUCUGUGAUGAAAGCAUGAAAUAAUUCAUUUUGAAGAGGAACCUUCUGAAUAUAAUAACAAUGGGAACAGCUUCUGGCUGAAUGAAGACCUCAUUUGGCAUCAGAAGAUUAAAAAUUGGGAGCAACCUUUUGAAUACAAUGAAUGUGGGAAAGCUUUCCCUGAGAAUUCACUCUUCCUUGUACAUAAGAGAGCUUACACAGGACAGAAAACAUGCAAAUAUACUGAACAUGGGAAAA
ensembl:lncRNA ZNF37BP zinc finger protein 37B, pseudogene